rnacentral:lncRNA from 1 species
AGGAGGAAAGAAACUGUUUUUGGUUUCUUCCUAUUUUUUUUUUUUUUUAUGUUUAAAGGGACGAAAAUUGGUUAAAAGGCAUGGAGACUUGACCCGAAUUGACCACUUCUUUUUUUUUUCCUUUUUCAAGAAGGGAAAAAUUCCAAAACGAGAAUUUGAAUCAGCCGCUUGCCUGCACACAAAUCUGCUGCCUGUUCCUGACCGUCUGUCCACAAUAGCCAUUUGAGGCUGUCAGCUGGUCUUGUUUACGAUAUUACAUGCAACAGACAACCCUUUUCUUUUCCUUUCUUGUACGUGUGUCCAUUUAACUGUGUUGUCCUGAAUUCCGGUCCUAUCUCUAAAAAAGGGUAUAUAUACUAUGUAUUAUAUACAUGGACAACAACAACAACACACACACAAAAAUGGCUUUUUUUUUUCCAUCCUUUUAUUCCGGGCGACCCCGAUGGGUCCAAGAAAAAGGUAAAGCCAAUGAUCUUUCGAACCCUUAGACACAGGAAAAAAAAACGUGGAAAAAGUAGGGAUCAUGAACCUUAUACCAUCUGUCGCUGCGUAUGCUGAUGAAGUGUGUCAGUGACUUGAUUACACAACCGCACUAACAUUUGAUUGAGGUGGGAUUAAUUUCCGUUCGUUCCGCAGUGGCUUAUACCAGUUAUGCAACAGUGCCGGCUUCUCUCCACGUGAAAAAGAGUUUCCGUGUGUGCGUUUUAAUGAUUUAUAGUUCGUUAGAUGCUGCAAAUUGCGGCGCAAUCAGCCGGCCGGAUAACGGAAAGUCUCGGUAUCCCAAUUUUAUUUAUUUUUUUUUUACAUUCUUAUUUCAUUUUUUUCCUUCUUUCUCUUUAUCGUUUCGCUUGUUAUUGCUUAACAAAUAUCCCCGAACAAAGUUUCUCGUUUUUCUGCGGAGACAUUCAAGAAAAAUCCACUUUCUUUUCCUGCCGAUUUCACACGCAGACAUGGAUGCAACAUUUCGGGAUUUCCGUCAUGUCCACUGAAAAAUGUCAAGGACGCACCACCAACUUAACGGGGGUGAGGCUCAUCUCGACUUAUUUAUAUAAGAUGACUACCCAGGCUUCCCAGUGCGGGAGACCUCUGGAUUCACGCGGACGCACCUCGGCAACAAUCAAAGACAAUAAAGAACGCACUAACAAUAGCGACGCGGUACCUUAAAGUCGAUGAGUGGCGUUUUAGUUUUAAAGAAAAACUGCGUGACGCCCGUCGACUAAAAGAAAAAAUAGUUAACCACAAUUUGUUUUUGUUUCGAGGAAAAUAAAAGGGGAGAAUUUGUGUGGAAACACUUGCGCGCCGCUCAUUGUCCCGGAAAUGACAUUUAAUAUCGUUUCAACUAAAUUGAAUUUCCUUACUGACCUCAUGGCGCUGUCUCACAUGUACACAUUCUUUCAUCUUCAAUUUUUAUUCAAAUGUUCACGGUCCGUUGUUUUUCCUCUUCAACUUGCCCAUAGAUUGUUGUCGUGUAAUUGGUUACAGUCCACAGUUGUUAUAUUAGGUAGGGUAGCCGAAUCCUGUGUUGUGUUAUUUAUCGUUGCUGUUAUCAUCUCUUGUUUUCCUCCCGUUUGCAUACGUAGUCGAUCUAGCUCUACCGAAUAGAAAGGAAAAAUUUGAAUAUAAGCAAAUGCCGAUCGAUUCUGA